CCUUAACCUGCUAAAUAGUUGCGUUCACUUUGGUGGACGAUUUCAGCUUCUUAGAGGGACUACGAAUGUUUAAUUCGUGGAAGUUUGAGGCAAUAACAGGUCUGUGAUGCCCUUAGAUGUUCUGGGCCGCACGCGCGCUACACUGACGAAGGCAGCAAGUAUUCACCUUGACCGGAAGGUCUGGGUAAUCUUUUGAAACUUUGUCGUGCUGGGGAUAGUCCCUUGCAAUUAUUGGACUUUAACGAGGAAUUCCUAGUAAGCGCAAGUCAUCAGCUUGCGUUGAUUACGUCCCUGCCCUUUGUACACACCGCCCGUCGCUACUACCGAUUGAAUGGCUUAGUGAGACCUCCGGAUCGACGCCUUUUGGGCGGCAACGCUUGAGAGAUGUUGAGAAGUUGGUCAAACUUGGUCAUUUAGAGGAAGUAAAAGUCG
rnacentral:rRNA from 1 species